rnacentral:rRNA from 1 species
UGGGGAAUUGUUCGCAAUGGGCGCAAGCCUGACGACGCAACGCCGCGUGGAGGACGAAGAUCUUCGGGUCGUAAACUCCUGUCGAGCGGGACGAACACCCAUCCGGUGAAUAUCCGGGAGGGCUGACGGUACCGCUAAAGGAAGCCCCGGCUAACUCCGUGCCAGCAGCCGCGGUAAUACAGAGGGUGCAAGCGUUAUCCGGAAUUAUUGGGCGUAAAGCGCACGCAGGCGGUCCGGUAUGUGUGGGGUAAAAGCUCCUGGCUUAACCAGGAGAGGUCUCCAUAAACGGCCGGACUUGAGAGCGAGAGAGGGACACGGAAUUCCAGGUGGAGCAGUGACAUGCGUAGAUACCUGGAGGAACACCAAAGGCGAAGGCAGUGUCCUGGCUCGUUUCUGACGCUCAGGUGCGAAAGCUAGGGGAGCGAAC